rnacentral:rRNA from 1 species
AUUGAACGCCGGCGGAAUGCUUUACACAUGCAAGUCGAACGGCAGCACGGACUUCGGUCUGGUGGCGAGUGGCGAACGGGUGAGUAAUGUAUCGGAACGUGCCCAGUCGUGGGGGAUAACGUAGUGAAAAUUACGCCAAUACCGCAUACGAUCUAUGGAUGAAAGCGGGGGAUCGCAAGACCUCGCGCGAUUGGAGCGGCCGAUAUCAGAUUAGGUAGUUGGUGGGGUAAAGGCCCACCAAGCCAACGAUCUGUAGCUGGUCUGAGAGGACGACCAGCCACACUGGAACUGAGACACGGUCCAGACUCCUACGGGAGGCAGCAGUGGGGAAUUUUGGACAAUGGGCGAAAGCCUGAUCCAGCCAUUCCGCGUGCAGGACGAAGGCCCUCGGGUUGUAAACUGCUUUUGUACAGAACGAAAAGGUUUCUACUAAUACUAGGAGCUCAUGACGGUACUGUAAGAAUAAGCACCGGCUAACUACGUGCCAGCCGCCGCCGUAA